rnacentral:rRNA from 1 species
GACGUAGGGCGCGAGCGUUGUCCGGAAUUAUUGGGCGUAAAGGGCUCGUAGGCGGUUUGUCGCGUCGGGAGUGAAAUCCACUGGCUUAACUGGUGGCUUGCUUUCGAUACGGGCAGACUGGAGGUAUGCAGGGGAGAACGGAAUUCCUGGUGUAGCGGUGGAAUGCGCAGAUAUCAGGAAGAACACCAACGGCGAAGGCAGCUCGCUGGGCAGUGGCUGACGCUGAGGCGCGACAGCGUGGGGAGCAAACAGG